UCCAACCAAGUUCUGUGUCGCCCAUUGAGGAGUUUCACACUGCAUCUGUGAAGAUCGAGCAUAGAUCGGGGAAUCUGGGGUGUUGUUCAAUUCUGAUCAAAGGCAUCGACGGUUUCAGAUUUCAGGGGGGUUGAGCCAUCAUCCAUUAUCUGGCGUCGGAGAUAGCUUUCUGGAAUGUUUCUACAGGGGCAAAGCUCCGUUUUUCAAAGAUGAGAUGGUUCCUUGAGCGCCAGAGAGACCAACAGAUCCAUGCUGAUAGAGUUCCUACUCCGAUUUCCACUGGUGGCAAAGAAGGGACACUGCAACAGGAGGUGCGUCACUGAUUCUUGUACAUUGCAUCUUGCAUAGAGAGCAGAGAUAGACUAGAGAGCCAGUCGGGUACAGCAGCUUGGUAUGUGGGGAGUGUCUCGGAGCUCUUUUCUGUGAUUUCAGUACCUGGCAGGAGCAGAUCAGAGACUUUGAGUUGUUGUAAUGCCUCUGGUGCUGGUCAAAAAGGAUUAAGCUGCUCGCAGUGUGAGAGCCACAGAUCAUCCCAAACAUUAAUUGACUCUCCUAUUCCCACCAUCCAUCCCAGCUGCUUAGUAAGGAGAUCUCUGCCUAUUAAAACGCUUCUUCAUCCAUGCGAGGAAGAAGAAGACGCAUGACAUUUCAAAAAAGGUUUCGAGUGACAAUAUUUUUCAGAGUACGCAGCGUGCAAGGAGACAAGUAGGAUUCUUUAAAAUACGUCAGCUAAUCUUCGCCAGUAGCGCAUUGUCGAAGGAGGUUCUAUGUCUCACCAGAAUCUGGAAAGAGUUGAUUGGAUACUCUAGGAAAUGGAUUGUGGGAGUUUGAAGCAGGACGUAGUGUGGGAAGACAUUGGUGCCAAGACGCUUUUCAUCAUAAUCAUCUUCUUUGUAUUAGAUAAGAACUUUGUAGACCAGCUAGCUGCUCUCUGCUAAAUCAUGUCGACAACAAAGGCAAACAAAUCUUUCUUUUCACUACCAAAGUAUUCAGGGAGCCCCAUGUAUUUUACCUACUCUGCCUUCUUUUUCUCUUCCAAGGACUGAUUUCAUCAAUGCCCGCGCAUCAGGACUUGUUCUUUUGGAAAAGAAAAUUGAUGAUUUCUGCUUGUUAAUUACUAAUUAGUUGUCCAGAGACUAAAAAGAGUUA